GAUCCUGGCUCAGGACGAACGCUGGCGGCAUGCCUAACACAUGCAAGUCGAACGGAGAUAUUUGGAAGCUUGCUUUUGGAUAUCUUAGUGGCGGACGGGCGAGUAACNCGUGAGCAACCUGGCCUUCAGAGUGGAACAACGUCUGGAAACGGGCGCUAAUACCGCAUAAUACAAGAGAGUCGCAUGGCUUUUUGUCAAAGGAGAAAUCCGCUGAAGGAUGGGCUCGCGUCCGAUUAG
rnacentral:rRNA from 1 species